rnacentral:rRNA from 1 species
AUUGAACGCUGGCGGCAUGCCUUACACAUGCAAGUCGAACGGCAGCAUAGGAGCUUGCUCCUGAUGGCGAGUGGCGAACGGGUGAGUAAUAUAUCGGAACGUGCCCUAGAGUGGGGGAUAACUAGUCGAAAGACUAGCUAAUACCGCAUACGAUCUACGGAUGAAAGUGGGGGAUCGCAAGACCUCAUGCUCCUGGAGCCGCCGAUAGCUGAUUAUCUAGUUGGUGGGGUAAAAGCCUACCAAGGCGACGAUCAGUAGCUGGUCUGAGAGGACGACCAGCCACACUGGGACUGAGACACGGCCCAGACUCCUACGGGAGGCAGCAGUGGGGAAUUUUGGACAAUGGGGGCAACCCUGAUCCAGCAAUGCCGCGUGAGUGAAGAAGGCCUUCGGGUUGUAAAGCUCUUUUGUCAGGGAAGAAACGGUAGUAGCUAAUAUCUAUUACUAAUGACGGUACCUGAAGAAUAAGCACCGGCUAACUACGUGCCAGCAGCCGCGGUAAAAC